rnacentral:rRNA from 1 species
CAGCAGUAGCCACGGGAAUACGAAGGGUGCAAGCGUUAAUCGGAAUUACUGGGCGUAAAGCGUGCGUAGGCGGUUUGUUAAGUCUGUUGUGAAAUCCCCGGGCUCAACCUGGGAAUGGCAAUGGAUACUGGCAAGCUAGAGUGUGUCAGAGGAUGGUGGAAUUCCCGGUGUAGCGGUGAAAUGCGUAGAGAUCGGGAGGAACAUCAGUGGCGAAGGCGGCUUACUGGCUCAUACUGAACGCUGAGGUGCGAAAGCGUGGGGAGCAAACAGGAUUAGAUACCCCAGUAGUCCCUGUCUCUUAUAC